AUUGAACGCUGGCGGCAUGCCUUACGCAUGCAAGUCGAACGGUAACGCGGGGCAACCUGGCGACGAGUGGCGAACGGGUGAGUAAUGUAUCGGAACGUGCCCAGUUGUGGGGGAUAACUGCUCGAAAGAGCAGCUAAUACCGCAUACGACCUGAGGGUGAAAGCGGGGGAUCGCAAGACCUCGCGCAAUUGGAGCGGCCGAUAUCAGAUUAGGUAGUUGGUGGGGUAAAGGCUCACCAAGCCAACGAUCUGUAGCUGGUCGGAGAGGACGACCAGCCACACGGGGACUGAGACACGGCCCAGACUCCUACGGGAGGCAGAAGUGGGGAAUGUUGGACAAUGGACGCAAGUCUGAUCCAGCCAUGCCGCGUGCGGGAAGAAGGCCUUCGGGUUGUAAACCGCUUUUGUCAGGGAAGAAACGCUCUGGGUUAAUACCUCGGGGUAAUGACGGUACCUGAAGAAUAAGCACCGGCUAACUACGUGCCAGCAGCCGCCGUAAAAC
rnacentral:rRNA from 1 species